rnacentral:misc_RNA from 1 species
AACAAGGCGUACCUGCGGACCUGCGGAGGGAUCAUUAUCCAUCCAAAACCAGCUGCGGUCGCGGCCCCACGCUUACCCGUGGCGGUACGCGCCGCACGUCUGCACCCUUUUUUUACGAGUACCUUCGUUCUCCCUCGGCAGGGCAACCUGCCGUUGGAACCAUACAAAACCUUUUUUUGCAUCUAGCAUUACCUGUUCUGAUACAAACAAUCGUUACAACUUUCAACAACGGAUCUCAGA